UGCGAGAUUAAUAGUGUAAAGGCAAUGUUUACAGCGUAGCCUACUAUUUUUCUCAGUGAGCAGAGUCAGAGAUCAGUCGAUGCAACGGAGGUGCAAGGGAAAGGUAAAGGAAGAGGGAAAGGUAAAGAAAAGCCAAGAGCCUGUGGCAGAGGAUCGGUGAGACCUCCUAGGCAAAGAAAAAGUAAGACUCCAAAGAUGACAAGGAGAGAGUGGAAGAACUUCAAAGACAAAGGAGAGAAGCAACGGAGAGACUUGUGGAUGGAAUGAGCCUGCAAGAGCACAGGAACCUCACCGCACAGUUGCUAGUGAGGCAGCCAGGUCUGGUGUUUGAUGCAUCAGUGCAGACAGGUCGUCCCCCCACCUGUGCCAGGGAUGCCUUGGUGUACUUGUACACACUGCAGAGACAUGCCAACCGAUCAGGAGAGAAAAUGCUGUGGACAAAACCCUGCCACCUGUGUGAGCCUUCUGCCUCACUACACACAGCACUGCCUAGAUGAAGGUUUUCUCCAGAUUCACAGGCAGUACAUCACAGACAUUACAGCAUUAGGCCAUGUAAGAGAGCCAGGUGAUGACAAUAGAGUUCAGAUAUGCUACCUAGACAUUUCAUUUUCUGGCAGCAUGGGUCUCUAGGACAGAGUAAUAGAAGAGUGAUCCCAAGCUGUGUGUGUAGGAUAAGGGAUAAAUUCCCUAACCCUCAGGGACAUCUCUGGAAUUUAUAUCACCUUCCUAUAAUGUUGUAAUGUUGUGUUAUUGUAAAUAGUUUUGUAUUAGUGUUCUUGUACUGCCUGUUCCUUUUAAAACUGUAUUUAAUUUAUUUUACAUCGGUACAUCGCUAUAUUUUGCUUUCAUGAAAAUAAAAACUUUUAGAAUUGAUAAGAGACUGUUCAUGCUGUACCUCUUAUACAUUACAUCCACAAACUUAUAAU